rnacentral:rRNA from 1 species
UUCUGGUUGAUCCUGCCGGAGGCUACCGCUAUUGGAGUUCGAUUAAGCCAUGCGAGUCGAGAGUCUUAGGGACUCGGCGUACCGCUCAGUAACACGUGGGUAACCUGCCCUAUGCUGGGGAAUAACCUCGGGAAACUGAGAAUAAUACCUCAUAGUCCACAAUGCCUGGAACGGUUUGUGGAUUAAAGCCCCGGCGGCAUAGGAUGGGCCUGCGGCGUAUCAGGUUGUAGGGGGUGUAACGUACCCUCUAGCCAUCAACACGUACGGGUGUUGGGAGACAUAGCCCGGAGAUGGAUUCUGAGACACGAAUCCAGACCCUACGGGGUGCAGCAGGCGCGAAAACUUGGCAAUGCGAGAAAUCGUGACCAGGGAACUCCAAGUGGCUGGGGUAAGACCCAGUCUUUUCUUGACUCUUCAAAGGUCUUGGAAUAAGAGGUGGGUAAGGACGGUGCCAGCCGCCGCGGUAAUACCGGCGCCUCAAGUGGUAGUCGAUUUUAUUGGGCCUAAAACGUCCGUAGCCUGUUUGGUACAUUCGUGGGUAAAUCAACCAGCUUAACUGGUUGAAUUCUGCGAGCACGGCCAGACUUGGGACCGGGAGAGGUGUGGGGUACGCUCAGGGUAGGGGUAAAAUCCUGUCAUCCUGAGCGGACC